rnacentral:lncRNA from 1 species
ACUAUAAUUCCAAGAAGUUCUGUUCAAAACAGGACCAAAAACCCGUUCAAAACGGGUCUGAAAAUUCUGUUCAAAAAUAGAUCCGAAAAUAUUUAAAAAAUCUAUUCAAAAUAGAUCUAAUAAUCUGUUCAAAAAUAGAUUUAAACACUUGAAAAAUCUGUUCAAAACAGAUUUGAAUCUUCUUGAAAAAUCGGUUCUAAAUUAGAUUUGGAAAUCAAUUCAAAAC